rnacentral:rRNA from 1 species
AGAGUUUGAUCCUGGCUCAGGAUGAACGCUGGCGGCGUGCUUAACACAUGCAAGUCGAACGAACCUUCGGGUUAGUGGCGGACGGGUGAGUAACGCGUGAGAAUCUGCCCUCAGGAGGGGGAUAACGGUUGGAAACGGCCGCUAAUACCCCAUAUGCCGCGAGGUGAAAUGAAUUUCGCCUGAGGAUGAGCUCGCGUCUGAUUAGCUAGUUGGUGUAGGUAAUGGCUCACCAAGGCAUCGAUCAGUAGCUGGUCUGAGAGGAUGAUCAGCCACACUGGGACUGAGACACGGCCCAGACUCCUACGGGAGGCAGCAGUGGGGAAUUUUCCGCAAUGGGCGAAAGCCUGACGGAGCAACGCCGCGUGAGGGAUGAAGGCCUCUGGGCUGUAAACCUCUUUUAUCAAGGAAGAAGAUCUGACGGUACUUGAUGAAUAAGCCACGGCUAAUUCCGUGCCAGCAGCCGCGGUAAUACGGGAGUGGCAAGCGUUAUCCGGAAUUAUUGGGCGUAAAGCGUCCGCAGGCGGCCCUUCAAGUCUGCUGUUAAAAAGUGGAGCUUAACUCCAUCAUGGCAGUGGAAACUGUUGGGCUUGAGUGUGGUAGGGGCAGAGGGAAUUCCCGGUGUAGCGGUGAAAUGCGUAGAUAUCGGGAAGAACACCAGUGGCGAAGGCGCUCUGCUGGGCCAUCACUGACGCUCAUGGACGAAAGCCAGGGGAGCGAAAGGGAUUAGAUACCCCUGUAGUCCUGGCCGUAAACGAUGAACACUAGGUGUCGGGGGAAUCGACCCCCUCGGUGUCGUAGCCAACGCGUUAAGUGUUCCGCCUGGGGAGUACGCACGCAAGUGUGAAACUCAAAGGAAUUGACGGGGGCCCGCACAAGCGGUGGAGUAUGUGGUUUAAUUCGAUGCAACGCGAAGAACCUUACCAGGGUUUGACAUCCUGCGAAUCUCUUGGAAACGAGAGAGUGCCUUCGGGAGCGCAGUGACAGGUGGUGCAUGGCUGUCGUCAGCUCGUGUCGUGAGAUGUUGGGUUAAGUCCCGCAACGAGCGCAACCCACGUCUUUAGUUGCCAGCAUUUAGUUGGGCACUCUAGAGAGACCGCCGGUGAUAAACCGGAGGAAGGUGUGGAUGACGUCAAGUCAUCAUGCCCCUUACAUCCUGGGCUACACACGUACUACAAUGCUACGGACAAAGGGCUGCAAGUUCGCGAGGACAAGCAAAUCCCAUAAACCGUGGCUCAGUUCAGAUCGUAGGCUGCAACUCGCCUACGUGAAGGAGGAAUCGCUAGUAAUCGCAGGUCAGCAUACUGCGGUGAAUACGUUCCCGGGCCUUGUACACACCGCCCGUCACACCAUGGAAGUUGGCCACGCCCGAAGCCGUUACUCCAACCCUUGUGGAGGAGGACGUCGAAGGUGGGGCUGAUGACUGGGGUGAAGUCGUAACAAGGUAUCCGUACCGGAAGGUGCGGAUG